GAGAUGUUGGGUUAAGUCCCGUAACGAGCGCAACCCUUGUCCUUAGUUACCAGCACAUAAUGGUGGGCACUCUAAGGAGACUGCCGGUGACAAACCGGAGGAAGGUGGGGAUGACGUCAAGUCAUCAUGGCCCUUACGGCCAGGGCUACACACGUGCUACAAUGGGGGGGUACAAAGGGUUGCCAAGCCGCGAGGUGGAGCUAAUCCCAUAAAACCUCUCGUAGUCCGGAUCGGAGUCUGCAACUCGACUCCGUGAAGUCGGAAUCGCUAGUAAUCGUGGAUCAGAACGCCACGGUGAAUACGUUCCCGGGCCUU
rnacentral:rRNA from 1 species